rnacentral:piRNA from 1 species
UACUUUCGAUAGUUCUGUUCCUUGGAUAGGU